AAGUUACACUUGGGUGUUUCUACCUGCAUUCUGACAGGAAGCUCUGCUGGGAUGCCCCUGGAUGGCCUGGCUCCAGAGCCUGCUAUAAACAGGCAGAAUGCCACUAAUUAACCUGUCACACUCCACUGGCCAAGAAAUGCUCCCUGUGGUAAUAUUUUGAGAUCUGACACCUUCACACAAAUACACAUAAAGUAAAUUUAAAAGAAAAGAAAGAGCUAGUGGCUGGCUGCUUUGCUUCUCUGAUCUUCCCCCAGCCCCAAUUUCUGACUCUGAGUUUUUAUUAAGAACAAUUAGAAUUCAUGUUACAGCUCCUAGUGUAAAAAUGUUCAGCCAUGUUUGAAAAUUCCUCAGCUCUUGGUUAGAGCUUGCUGUUGUAGCUUAAAUGCAGCCUUGGUACUCAGGAGUCCUUGUUCCUCAUUCGAUCUAAAAGAGAGUCACAGAGAGGUGUCAAAUCUUUACCGUCAAGGGUCUCAUACCCCACACUGUAACACUGGCUGAUUUUGGGCACUAAGGAAUCCUGCUUUUCUAGGCCUACACAAGAAAGCUUUCUUUGUGUUAUUGCCUCAGUCCAUGAUACCAGAAGUUUGCAAGAGAGGAUCACUCAAGAGAAUCCUUUUAAAAUUGGACCUAGCCAAGCAGUGGUUUCGAACGCCUUUAAUUCCAGCACUUGGGAGACAAAGACAGGUGGAACUGAGUUCGAAGCUAACCUGGUCUACAGAGUGAGUUCCAGGACUACACAGAGAAACCCUGUCUUGAAAAACAACAACAAUAAAUAAAAUAAAACUGGGCCUUCUGUUGCAAAACCAGGGAAAGCAGCACAGGACAGCAUUUCCCAGUGACCUGGGAAGCAAGCUUGGGGUAUCCUGCUUACACCAUACAACGGAAGUAUUUGGUCCAAUCCCAGCCAUGACUCUUGGCACCAGACAAUGAGCAUGUGAUUUGAACCUCUCACAGCUGUAAUAAAACACUAUGACUAGAGGAAGUGGUGGCACAGUCCUUUAAUGUCAGCACAUGGGAGGCAGAGUUCAAGGCCAGCCUGGUCUACAAAAUGAGUUCCAG
rnacentral:lncRNA from 1 species